GAGAAAUCUUCUGGUGAAUAUUUAAUGCUCUCUCGGAAGUGAUGCGGAGAAGCUCCAGGGUCCCGCUUAACCUACUUCUGCUUCUCCCGAGAACAGAGCCUUUGGGGCAGGAUCAAGAAGACAAUCUUCUUGAGCCCACGGCUCCUGACCACCAGCUCCUACCACCCGAGGGAUGGCACCUGAGAGCCUGUGAGCAUCUGGAGGCCCUGGGCUGGCGGGUGCAACCAUGCUGGAAGGGGCCACUGAAGCAGAAGUGGCUGGCAAUGGAGAAAGCCACCACGUGGCCGCAUGGUAGCAGCCACAUUUGUCAGCCACCAAGAACCUGUUCCAGCGGGGGCAAAGCCAGCCACUUCCACCCUGCCACUGUUUGUGAAAUGAUGAUAGAGAAAGGAGGAACAAGAAGAGAGCCGUGAAAAAGAGAGAAGGGUGUUGGGAGAAGACUGCACAAAUGAGUGGCAGCCAGACAGAGGGGAGUCUGGAAGGGCAGAGCAUUGCUGAAGGAGAAGAGGGCAGAGAGGCAGGGGCAGCAGAAACGGGGAGACAGGGCUGUGUGUGACUGCCCAGUCUGAACAGAUCCCAUCAGAGAGAACGGUCAGGACCAAGGGAGGAGCCUGGCACAACCAUGGGGGCCUUGAAUGACAAGCCCAGGGGUUUUCCAGGGGCCCUUAUUACGUUUCUGUUCCUGCCGUAGCAAACGACCACAAAUUCGGUGACUUAAAGCAAUAGAGAUUUGCCCUCUCAUAGUUGAGAAAACUGGAAGUCCAAAAUCAAAAUUACUGGACCACAGUGGCUAAGACUUCGUUUGUGCUCCCCAAGCAGGGGGCCUGGGUCCGAUCUGUGGUCAGGGAAAUAUUAAUAGAUCGCAUACGCUGCAACUAACAGUUUGCAUGCUGCAACUAAAGAUCCACGUGUCACAGUGAAGGUCGAGACUCUGAGUGCCGCAACUAGGCCUGGCUCAGCCAAAUAAAUUAAGUAAUUAAAAAAAAAAAUCA
ensembl:lncRNA